rnacentral:rRNA from 1 species
AACGCGAAGAACCUUACCCGGGCUUGACAUCUAGAGGAAGACUGCAGAGAUGCAGUCGCCGGGGCAACUCGGCCUUUAGACAGGUGCUGCAUGGUUGUCGUCAGCUCGUGCCGUGAGGUGUUAGGUUAAGUCCUGCAACGAGCGCAACCCUCAUCCUUAGUUGCCAGCGGGUUAUGCCGGGCUCUCUAAGGGAACUGUCGCUGAUAAGGCGGAGGAAGGUGGGGAUGACGUCAAAUCAGCAUGGCCCUUACGUCCGGGGCUACACACGUGCUACAAUGGAGGAUACAGAGGGAUGCAAGACAGCAAUGUGGAGCAAAUCCCCAAAAAUCCUCCUCAGUUCGGAUCGUGGGCUGCAACCCGCCCACGUGAAGUCGGAAUCGCUAGUAACCGCAGAUCAGCAAUGCUGCGGUGAAUACGUUCCCGGGCCUUGUACACACCGCGAGC